rnacentral:rRNA from 1 species
UACGUAGGGUGCGAGCGUUGUCCGGAAUUAUUGGGCGUAAAGAGCUCGUAGGCGGUGUGUCACGUCGGCCGUGAAAACCUGGGGCUCAACCCCAGGCUUGCGGUCGAUACGGGCAGGCUCGAGUUCGGUAGGGGAGACUGGAAUUCCUGGUGUAGCGGUGAAAUGCGCAGAUAUCAGGAGGAACACCGGUGGCGAAGGCGGCUCUCUGGAACGCAACUGACGCUGAGACGCGAAAGCGUGGGGAGCAAACAGG